GCAAAAGUGAAAAUGAAUCUAUGCGCCCAUCAGGUGUUCGACAGAAUGCUUCUGUGUGGAGAUAUGGCGAUGAGGUUGAUGUUUGCUGUUUCUUCUUCUUCUCCGGUAUUAAUGGCGGAGUUACCUGACUUGAAGAAAAGAAACAAGAGGAGAUCUGUGAGGAUGAUCAAAUGCAGAGCUGACGGUGGACGCGUGACCGUCGGCGACGACGUGUUCUCGGUUACGACUUCUUCUAAGUAUGAAGUGGACUAUCUGGGUCAAAGCACCAAGGGAGAUUUGAAUCUCAAGCUUGACACUCUCCACUCAUUUGGUAUACAUCCUCCUUUCCAUUGUUGCUAGUUUUCAAAACUGAAACUGGAGUUUUAGAGAACUUUGGAAUUUAAUGUAUCGGUGCCUGGUUAAGGAAUUUGAUACUUAUAUGCUAAAGGUCGAACCUUGUUGUUGUUGUGGGUGUUGUUUUGUUUAUUGAGGUGAAUAAGAGCUAAAGCUCGAACCUUUUUGAUGUAGGAGCAAAUGCAAAAGCUUACAUUUUAUAUUUCCUUUUUUUUUCUUGAUGUAGUGUCAUUAUAGCUUUGUAUUAUCCAUGUAGGAAAUGGGCAGGCUACGUUGGAGGGUCCAAUUGAGGAGGUAGCGAGGACAGAGGCUCAAGCUGCUGAAAAUUUGAUUAGAGAGUUGGGUAUCGAAGUUCGUUUUCUAAUCCUUGUAAUUUGUGUCUUACAUAUUCUCUGAAUUUAGAGUUUGAGGAUAGCUUUGUAUGGUUUUUAUAAGGACUUUGUGAUGAUCCUUCACUGGUCUCACACAUUCAUGCCUGAUAUUGCAGGGUCCUUUCUCUGCGCAACACUCUCCUCGUGGUAUAUUUUGUAGUCGUACACUGAAUCUACGGUCUAUUAGUGUAAUCGGAUAUGAUAUGGAUUACACUUUGAUGCACUACAAUGUCAUGGUGAGUUCUUCUCUUCUCAUACUCUAUGUAUGCAGAAGAUACAUCCAUAAUUGACGCGAAUGUAUGGCUUUGUUCAGGCUUGGGAAGGAAGGGCUUAUGACUAUUGCAUGGAAAAUCUAAAGAGCAUGGGUUUCCCUGUUGAUGGACUUUCUUUUGAUCCAGAACUGGUAAUAUGUUUAUUCUUGUGAUGGUUGAAGGGUUCCACAUUGUAGUAUCCUCCCUAAAGUUUUUUUGUAGUGCUAAGCCUAAACUACUCUGUCUCUUAUUAUAGGUUAUAAGGGGUCUCAUGAUCGACAAAGAGAAAGGUAAUUUAAUCAAGACUGAUAGAUUUGGAUAUGUGCAGAGAGCCAUGCACGGUACAAACAUGUUAUCAAAUAAAGCUGUCAGGUAUGGUAGACUUUUCAAUACUAUUCAGUUGCGUAGUCUUUGUUCUUUAGGAAGUCUUAUUCUCUUAUUCGAUUUAUAUGGGUGAAAGUGAGAUCUAUGGAAGAGAGUUAGUUGAUCUUCGGAACCAGAGCCGUUGGGAGUUUUUGAACACAUUCUUUUCUGUUUCAGAGGCUGUGGCUUAUGCGCAGGUACGUUCAUUUAUUACGAGAACUCGUUGCUGAAUAUUGUUUGUUUAUGUUGGGGACAAUCAACCACUUUCAGAUGGUUGAUAGAUUGGAUGAUGGAUUUAUUUCAGCAGAUCUUGGCACUCUUGAUUACAAAGGACUGUACAAGGUCAUUUGCUUCAAAGGACCUAAAUUUCAUUGAAUUGAAAGCUUUGCAUAUUAUUUACCUGUAAUCAAUGUUUUCAGGCUGUUGCAAAGGCCCUCUUCAGAGCACAUGUUGAAGGACAACUUAAGGUUUAUAGUUUGUCCAUUCUGCAAUUAGUCUCUAAUAAAUCAGGUUUCCCAGGUCCCUAACUAAUGAUAGUUAUCUUGCAGAGUGAGAUAAUGUCCAAGCCAGAACUAUUUGUCGAGCCAGACCCAGAGUUACCUUUAGCUCUUUUGGAUCAAAAGGAGGUAAUGUUUGUGUCUUCCCAGAAAAAGUCUCUCAUUAUGAUAGGUUCAUUUGUUAAUAUCCGUACUGUUCGCUCACAGGCUGGUAAAAAGCUCUUGCUUAUCACAAACUCAGAUUAUCACUACACAGACAAAAUGAUGAAGCAUUCAUUUAAUAAAUUUCUUCCUAAUGACAUGGACUGGCGAGAUCUUUUUGACAUGGUGAGCAAACGAAAAAUCGUUUCUGCAUUUUAAUUGUAAAGCAGUCGUUUUAACAGAGAGUAGUUCUAACUUAUGUUUCCUCGUCUGGCCGACUAAAAUUCAUGUAUCCACAUAGGUGAUAGUUUCUGCGAGGAAACCAGAGUUCUUCCAGAUGUCACACCCUUUGUACGAGGUUGUGACUGGAGAGGGUUUGAUGCGUCCAUGCUUUAAGGCUGAAACAGGUGAUUUCUCAUUGUUUGAUAAUACUUCUGUGGAGAAAGCUAUUUUUUCCUUUUAUCUCAAUGUUUGUCUCGCACAGGAGGUUUAUACUCAGGAGGAAGUGCUCAGAUGGUAGAGAGUUCUCUCAAUGUUCAUGGAGAUGAGAUUUUGUACGUUGGUGACCACAUCUACACUGAUGUCAGCGUCUCCAAAGUCCAUCUCAGGUGGCGAACUGCACUGAUUUGCCGUGAACUGGAAGAAGAGGUUUAUCGGCGCCGGUAUAGCAUCUGGUUAUAAACGUGUUGCUGGUGUCCAUCUUUCAAUCCACCAUAUCCGACCUGCUGCCCUCGGUGAAUCCGUCUUCGCCGAAUCUUUUCCGGUCUCAGUCGGCAAAAAUAUACAGGUAGGCUACCUAUACAUAUAUCAUUGUUUAAUUAGAUGUUUUUUUUGGUCAACGACAUAUAGAUAUGUUAGUCUCUAAUUUAAUAGAAGAAACUUGGUCAAGGAUAUACACUAUUAAAUUUAUACAAGUAUAAAAAAUAAAUUCACGAUUAAACAUACGAUAUUUUUUUCCGGGUUUUGAUUGGUAAAAUGGUGACUAGUUAGUAGUUAUUCAUCAACUCUAUGUUUUUUAUCAGUUGAUUAUUAAAAUUUAAAAUAUGUUAUUGAUGUAACAAUGAAAUAGAAAGAAAACUAGUUAUGUUAAUUUUUUGUAAGUCAUUUCGUGUUAUAUAAUGAAAUGAAAUGACUAGUGAGUUGUUCGUGGGGCACUUUGAUGUUUUGUUAACAUGCAUUUGACUAAACUUACGAAACUCUUUAUUUUAAGAUAUUUUAUUCCAAAUUUACGAAUAAAUGUUAGGUAUGGGAGGUUCGGCUAUGGAAAACCAAGGAAACGGAGAAGAAGAAAAUGAUAUCAACAUCCCGUGUUACUCUCUUGAGUGGUUUACCUGUACCGGACCACGCUAAAGAUUCUUUGGACCAGCUCAAGAAGUUUGUAUCCAAGUUGUAAUUUUCAUUUUGUAUCUCUCUGACUCUCACAGCCUUGUUUGCUGGGAAUAAAGAACGGUUUACUAGUUUGGUGGUUGUAUUGUAUUGUAUCUACCAAACGAUUACAUAAAUUUCCCCCAAGUCUUUUUUAAUCUUUGGUCUAAUUUGCAGAUCAUUUCAUUUAAAAAAAUAUAUAAAGAGAAUAUCUUGUUAGAAUGUCCAAAUGGUACUAAGUAUGAUUAUAAAAUCAGACGUGAUAUGUUAUAUGAUGAUAGAGAGAAUCUUUCAAUCCAUAUCUAUGUGGUUAAAACAUCAUGCCAUUGUGUCAAUCCUAACGUCGAUGCCGUGUCGUUCUUUUCCUCACACACUAGAUCAUGCCAUAGAGUGUAGUGGCAUGCUUAACCCCUUUACAGAGUAGUAUAAAAAAGCGGCAAAAGUGAAAAUGAAUCUAUGCGCCCAUCAGGUGUUCGACAGAAUGCUUCUGUGUGGAGAUAUGGCGAUGAGGUUGAUGUUUGCUGUUUCUUCUUCUUCUCCGGUAUUAAUGGCGGAGUUACCUGACUUGAAGAAAAGAAACAAGAGGAGAUCUGUGAGGAUGAUCAAAUGCAGAGCUGACGGUGGACGCGUGACCGUCGGCGACGACGUGUUCUCGGUUACGACUUCUUCUAAGUAUGAAGUGGACUAUCUGGGUCAAAGCACCAAGGGAG
rnacentral:lncRNA from 1 species